UGAAUCGAAGUUCAACAUACUCCAGCUUUAAUAACUUCCUUUUCUUCAUUUUUUUCCUCCAGGCUUUAAAAGAGGUAUCACUGUCUCCUGAUGGGAUCAGCAUUUUGGUAGAGUCACAACCAAAAGGGGAGUUCAUCUUUACAGUGGAAAUGGAUGGCAGAGGAUACUGUUUCUGGGAGAGCAUUACUUGUCUUGGAUGACUGAAAUGCCUUGGCCAGUGGAAGUCACUCGACUCUUGGCUGGAUGCCUCAGCAGCACUCUAUGAGCCGUGCAAUAACCUCUCCGAAAUGCACUGCUACUCCUGUCUUAUUGCUUAAUUAAUCUACUUCUAAUUGAUAUGGCCAUGCAUUACCAUGGCUGCCUCCCUGCUGUGAGAGCCCAUAAAAACAUAUUUGGCUUUUUUAACAGGACUUUUGAAACAAUGUCAAGAACAUGAACUUCUAAAUGACAUCAUACUUUGUCAAGAAAUGUAAGAAAACUGAGACCCAGAGAAGAAAAGUUAUUUUUCAACAUGAGUCGAGCCUCCUCUUUCUCCCCAAACCAUGUGUCACUCUACAGAGACCCCAAAAGAGAUUUAUUUUGCCCAACAAUCAUAAGAAAAAAACCAAACAGGGGCUAGUACUAUGGAACAUGGGGAAAGAAGGGAAGAUAGAAAUUGAGUCAGUGUUUAAGAAAAAAACUGGGAAUGCUUUUCUACAUUCAACAUUUCCCAAGGUCAUGUUUUGCAAGGCUGAUGAUUUACCCUCCCCAUUUCUCCCUCUUCAUUUUCUUUGUACUCACACACAAAAAGACACGAACUCAACAACAACAAGGAUGUGAAACCAUUUCGUUGGGCAUUUGAAUACAG
ensembl:lincRNA